rnacentral:misc_RNA from 1 species
GAUGAAGAACGUAGCGAAAUGCGAUACGUAAUGUGAAUUGCAGAAUUCAGUGAAUCAUCGAAUCUUUGAACGCAUAUUGCGCUCUCUGGUAUUCCGGAGAGCAUGCUUGUUUGAGUAUCAGUAAACACCUCAACUUCCAUAUGUUUUUUGAAAUGGGAGUUGGACUUGAGUGAUCCCAACGCUUUUCCUCACCGAAAAGUGGCGGGUUACUUGAAAUGCAGGUGCAGCUGGACUUUUCUCUGAGCUAUAAGCAUAUCUAUUUAGUCUGCCUAAAAAACAGAUUAUUACCUUUGCUGCAGCUAACAUAAAGGAGAUUAGUUCUUGUGCUGACUGAUGCAGGAUUCACAAAGACGGCUUCGGCCGACUUUGUAAACUCGAUCUCAAAUCAAGUAAGACUACCCGCUGAACUUAAGCAUAUCAAUAAGCGGAGGA